CCUACGGGAGGCAGCAGUAAGGAAUUUUCCGCAAUGGGCGCAAGCCUGACGGAGCAACGCCGCGUGGGCGAAGAAGGCCUUCGGGUUGUAAAGCCCUUUUCGAUGGAAAGACACAGACGGUACCAUCGGAAUAAGCCACGGCUAACUACGUGCCAGCAGCCGCGGUAAUACGUAGGUGGCCAGCGUUGCCCGGAUUUAUUGGGCGUAAAGAGCGCGUAGGUGGUGCCUUAAGUUGGGCGUGAAAGCCCCUGGCUUAACUGGGGAGGGUCGUCCAAUACUG
rnacentral:rRNA from 1 species